CUUGUUAAGUUUGAUGGCGACCGGCGCACGGGUGAGUAACACGUAUCCAACCUGCCGAUGACUCGGGGAUAGCCUUUCGAAAGAAAGAUUAAUACCCGAUGGCAUAGUUCUUCCGCAUGGUGGAACUAUUAAAGAAUUUCGGUCAUCGAUGGGGAUGCGUUCCAUUAGGUUGUUGGCGGGGUAACGGCCCACCAAGCCUUCGAUGGAUAGGGGUUCUGAGAGGAAGGUCCCCCACAUUGGAACUGAGACACGGUCCAAACUCCUACGGGAGGCAGCAUG
rnacentral:rRNA from 1 species